AACCACAGCAGCAGCAGCAGCAGCAGCACCAACAACAACAACAACACAAGAACAAGCAGCGGCACGUCCAGCUGUUUUGGUCUUUGGUCUACUGUGCUCAUGCGGUUGGUGGGCAAUGCUGCUUAAGUAUAAGCGCGCGCACACAGUGGUUCAUAACAAAAAGCUUAUGACAGAGUUUUCGAGGGCUUUUUGCAACUUUGAAUAAUAGAUGGCCGAUGGACUUAAUGUUGCGCUUCUAAAACCUUUAUUCGAAUUGGCGCUUUAUUCACUGCCGAAAAUGACUUUAGCACAUGCAGCUAGGCUGGAGGUUACCCAAGGAUGUGCCCGAGUUCUACACACGAAAUUAAAAUUAAAAUUAAAAAUCAAUCGAGAAAACUUGCCAAAAACUAGAAAAGUAUGAUCCUGAGUAUUUUGUGUACAGUCGAUGUGCGGAUGUCACAAAUAACUGUAACAAAAUCCGGACAAGAUUCCUAUUGAUAAAAAUGCAUUUCUGAAUUAUUCUCCCUUCGCUGGGCGCAACAAAACAAAUGUUAUUCUGCCUAUUUCGCCAUUCAUCGAAAUCGUGUUCAUUUUGCAAAAAUUCUCCUAUGAUCAUGACUGGGCCAUUUUUGAUGUAAACUCUCUGAAACGUUUAAAACGGCAUUUAAAAAGAUUUCAAAUAAACUUGAAUAACACAUGAGAAUUCGCGUUCGACAGUUCGGAAACCUUUCAUUAUGGGGCAUCAGAACAUCGCUCUUGUUAUUGAAAUAACUUAUUUAAAUACAAUUGAAAAGAAUGUCCAACAGUUGCAAUUACUCUCUCAAAAAGGCUAAAAUAAAAGUCUUCCCAAAAACCUUCCCUAAAAGGCGCAACCUCUCCGUUCAGCCUUCAUUGGCAUUAUAAGCAUAUAAUGCAUAUAUUUUGCAUUUAAUAACAUUAAAUAUAAAUAUUUAA